UACGGGGGGGGCAAGCGUUGUUCGGAAUUACUGGGCGUAAAGGGCUCGUAGGCGGCCAACUAAGUCAGACGUGAAAUCCCUCGGCUUAACCGGGGAACUGCGUCUGAUACUGGAUGGCUAGAGAUUGGGAGAGGGAUGCGGAAUUCCAGGUGUAGCGGUGAAAUGCGUAGAUAUCUGGAGGAAUACCGGUGGCGAAGGCGGCAUCCUGGACCGACAUUGACGCUGAUGAGCGAAAGCUAGGGGAGCAAACGGG
rnacentral:rRNA from 1 species